CCUACGGGAGGCAGCAGUGAGGAAUAUUGGUCAAUGGCCGCAGGGCUGAACCAGCCAAGUCGCGUGAGGGAUGACGGUCCUAUGGAUUGUAAACCUCUUUUGUCAGGGAGCAAAGGGCGCCACGUGUGGCGCUUUGCGAGUACCUGAAGAAAAAGCAUCGGCUAACUCCGUGCCAGCAGCCGCGGUAAUACGGAGGAUGCGAGCGUUCUCCGGAUUUAUUGGGUUUAAAGGGUGCGCAGGCGGAAUGUCAAGUCAGCGGUAAAAUUUCGGGGCUCAACCCCGUCGUGCCGUUGAAACUGGCGUUCUUGAGUGAGCGAGAAGUAUGCGGAAUGCGUGGUGUAGCGGUGAAAUGCAUAGAUAUCACGCAGAACUCCGAUUGCGAAGGCAGCAUACCGGCGCUCAACUGACGCUCAUGCACGAAAGCGUGGGUAUCGAACAGGAUUAGAUACCCCAGUAGUC
rnacentral:rRNA from 1 species